GAUGAACGCUGGCGGCGUGCCUAAUACAUGCAAGUAGAACGCUGAAGGAGGAGCUUGCUCUUCUGGAUGAGUUGCGAACGGGUGAGUAACGCGUAGGUAACCUGCCUGGUAGCGGGGGAUAACUAUUGGAAACGAUAGCUAAUACCGCAUGACAACAGUUAUUGCAUGAUAACUGUUUAAAAGGGGCAACUGCUCCACUACCAGAUGGACCUGCGUUGUAUUAGCUAGUUGGUGAGGUAACGGCUCACCAAGGCGACGAUACAUAGCCGACCUGAGAGGGUGAUCGGCGACACCGGGACUGAGACACGGCCCAGACUCCUACGGGAGGCAGCAGUAGGGAAUCUUCGGCAAUGGACGGAAGUCUGACCGAGCAACGCCGCGUGAGUGAAGAAGGUUGUCGGAUCGUAAAGCUCUGUUGUAAGGGAAGAACGAGUGUGAGGGUGGAAAGUUCACACUGUGACGGUAUCUUACCAGAAAGGGACGGCUAACUACGUG
rnacentral:rRNA from 1 species